GCCGCCGCGGUGCGCUGGCUGCAGGAAGCCGCCGCGCCACCGCUUUGUUGUUAGGGGCCCCGCGAGGAGCGCCGUUCGCCGCCGCCGCCCUCUCUCCCCGCAGCCCGCUCUCCGGCCGCGGGGCCCGAGUCCGGGCGCCCCGCCCGUCCUGCCCAUGAGGGGGCCCAGCGACCACCGCUGCCUCCGGCCCGGGGCGGCGCGGCGCUGAGGCGGCGGCGGCGCUGCCCGCUCUGCGGGAUCGGGCGGCUCCGGCCUCCUCCCCGAGAGCACCAUGGAGGUGAAUGCGGGAGGUGUGAUUGCCUAUAUCAGCUCUUCCAGCUCAGCCUCUAGCCCUGCGUCUUGUCACAGUGAGGGCUCCGAGAACAGUUUUCAGUCCUCCUCCGUCCCAUCUUCUCCGGCUAGCACUAAUGCUGAUAACAACGGGAAUCCCAAAAAUGGCCAUCUCUCCAAUACUGAAGGCAUCCUGAAGGAUGAUCGGAUAGAUUGUUCUAUGAAAACAAGCAAAUCGAGCGCACCUGGGAUGACAAAGAGUCACAGUUCAGUGACAAAAUUUAGUGGCAUGGUUCUACUGUGUAAAGUCUGUGGGGAUGUGGCGUCAGGAUUCCACUAUGGAGUUCAUGCUUGUGAAGGCUGUAAGGGUUUUUUCCGGAGAAGCAUUCAGCAAAACAUUCAGUACAAGAAGUGCCUGAAGAAUGAAAACUGCUCUAUAAUGAGAAUGAAUAGGAACAGAUGUCAGCAGUGUCGUUUCAAAAAGUGUCUGUCUGUUGGAAUGUCGAGAGAUGCUGUUCGGUUUGGUCGUAUUCCUAAGCGUGAAAAACAGAGGAUGCUAAUUGAGAUGCAGAGUGCCAUGAAGACCAUGAUGAACAGCCAGUUCAGUGGUCAUCUACAGAGCGACCAAUUAGUAGAACAUCAUGAACAGACAGCUUUACCAGCCCAGGAACAGCUGCGACCCAAGCCCCAGCUGGAGCAAGAAAACAUCAAAAGCUCUUCUCCCUCUUCAGAUUUUGCAAAGGAAGAAGUGAUUGGCAUGGUAACCAGAGCGCACAAGGAUACCUUUAUGUAUAAUCAGGAGCAGCGAGAAAACUCGGCAGAGACCGUGCAGCCGCAGAGAGAACGGAUUCCUAAGAACAUGGAGCAAUAUAAUUUGAAUCAUGACCGUUGUGGCAGUGGGCUUAGCAGCCACUUUCCUUGUAGUGAGAGCCAGCAGCACCUCGGUGGACAGUACAAAGGGAGGAACGUAAUGCAUUACGCCAAUGGGCAUGCCAUUUGUAUUACAAAUGGACAUUGUGUGAACUUCUCCAAUGCUUAUACUCAGAGAGUAUGUGAUAGAGUUUCCAUAGAUGGAUGUUCUCAGAAUGAGAACGAGAAUAGUUACCUGUGCAACACUGGAGGGAGAAUGCAUCUGGUUUGUCCAAUGAAUAAGUCUCCGUAUGUGGAUCCUCAUAAAUCGGGGCAUGAAAUCUGGGAAGAAUUUUCGAUGAGCUUCACCCCAGCAGUGAAGGAAGUGGUGGAGUUUGCAAAGCGUAUUCCCGGCUUCAGAGAUCUCUCUCAACAUGACCAGGUCAACCUUUUAAAGGCUGGGACUUUCGAGGUUUUAAUGGUACGGUUUGCAUCAUUAUUUGACGCAAAGGAACGUACUGUCACCUUUUUAAGUGGAAAGAAGUAUAGUGUGGAUGAUUUACACUCAAUGGGAGCAGGGGAUCUGCUAAACUCUAUGUUUGAAUUUAGUGAGAAGCUAAAUGCCCUCCAACUCAGUGAUGAAGAGAUGAGUCUGUUUACAGCAGUUGUCCUGGUUUCUGCAGAUCGAUCCGGGAUAGAAAACGUCAACUCUGUGGAGGCUUUGCAGGAAACGCUUAUCCGCGCCCUAAGGACCUUAAUAAUGAAAAACCAUCCAAACGAGGCCUCUAUUUUUACAAAACUUCUUCUAAAGUUGCCAGAUCUUCGAUCUUUAAACAACAUGCACUCCGAGGAGCUCUUGGCCUUUAAAGUUCACCCCUAAGGCCUUGGUUUAUUUAAACAUGGACUGAUUCAUGCUGACUGUAUAUUUUGUGCGGAAAUGCUUAUUUACGUGUGCACCAUACGUGGAGGUAGGAGAGACCUCUAGGACAACAUGAGACUGCAGGCCGCCUCUGUGACCAGGCAGCAGCUGCUUGAGAUUUCUUCAGCCAUGCUUAGACAUUGACCGCAAUUCCCCGGUAGACCAGUCAGCGGUGUUGCACUUAAACUGGAGAAGUUACACUGAAUUAUAGUCACACUGAAUGUUAGACUUUUUCAUCUGCCAAAACCAAAAACCAUUUUGAUCUCCCUGUGGUACAAAUAUAAUGCACAAUCACAAGUAUAUGAGGACUUAAAAAUUAAUCCUUUGUGGUGGAAGUUCUCUUAUAAGAUGGAAACUUGAUUUCACCCCAAGACUGUUGGAUCUGGUGUUUGGAGACUUUGCAAGUUAGGAAACCUCCUUGUCUGUGCUCCACUCUGCCACCGUGAAAGUGCGUGGUCCUGGACAGGCUCGCUGGUUGUGGAAAAUGAGACUUGAUCGUGUUCCCAAUGCCCCGCCUCACAGAGAUGCUGACGAAUGUCUAGAAAGCAUAUUUACCUCCUGGGAGAUAGGCACUAUGUAAAUACGUAUGUGGGCCUCUCACUGCUGUGGCCUCUCCCGUUGUGGAGCACAGGCUCCGGACGUGCAGGCUCAGCGGCCAUGGCUCACGGGCCCAGCCGCUCCGCGCCAUGUGGGAUCUUCCCGGACCGGGGCACAAACCCGUGUUCCCUGCAUCGGCAGGCGGACUCUCAACCACUGCGCCACCAGGGAAGCCCUCCCCUACAUUUUAACAAAUUAUUAAAGAGGGUGAGAUCGGUGUUUUUCAGAAAACUCAAUACAAAACACCUGGGGUGAAUAUGGCGUUCCUAAAUCUUUUUAGAAUUGAGUGUGAUCUUCUGAUGUCUCGAAGGUAAGCGGUUUUCUCUUCUGUUGUUUCAUUUUUCUCUGAACCCUCCUUACCCUUAACCUCAGCAGUUUCCCCACCCCCCCCCAUUACUUUGUUGCUUUGCUUGUAAAUUUUCAUCUAUAAUUUUCCCUCCUACAAGAGGCAUUUCAUUUCCUGAGAGAUUCUGCAGUUAAACACAAGUAGGGUAGUUUCCAAAAGUGGAAAGCACCUACACUUCCAUUCUCUCGAUCACCUUUUUGCCCCUCCCCUGCCCCUGCAAUUGCUGUUCUUUUUCUGAACUGUUUUAUCUGAUAGGAUUUUUGAGGAAUAGACUGAUGGUUUAGUUCUUCAUUACUUACGUUUAUUGAACAUCUGUGUCUCAGGAUUUUUAUUGUUUUUUAAUCCAAAUGUAAAGGGAGGUUCCAUGAAAAUCCAGGGCACUAAUCCGGACAGCAUUGUGAAGUUGUAUGCCGGUACAGCAGGUGGCUGUCAGUCACAGCACUUGCACUGGUGGAUGCCAGCAGCUCCUGUUCUAGCCGUGCUGUGCCGGGGCCGGCUUCUGGGGGCUCCUGAGGUCUGGUGUGACAUGUUCAGGAAUUUAGGGACCUGGUUGUUAGAAACACAGCCAUUAUUAAAAGUUAAAUCAUAUAAGCUUACAGUUGAGUUAUAUUUGAAAGAGAAUACUCAAAGCUCGCCUCUUCCUAAUUCUUCUAAGUUUAUUGUUAAUGCUUUAUGUGUAUGGUGGGUUAUGUGUAUGGUGGGAAUACUUCAUGACACUGUGUUCCUGCACAUCUCUUCCCAGCUCCCUGCCAAGGGAUUAUUUAUACCGUGAAAAGCUGCACAUGCUCUGAAUCACGGCUUGAUUUAUUGUUUUGUUGAUUUUCUAGACUUAAGAAAGUGAUGGAGAAAAUGUUAAUAAUACAGGUUAAAAGUCUGUUGCCAUUAACCAUUGCAAAUGGCACAGAGAAGUGAAGAAAUUGUCCAGUAGUUGAAAACUAUUAUCUGAUUCAGCAAAGAAGUUUCUCAUGUCACUGAUAAACGUCAAGUUCUAACAUAGUUCUUCUUGUUUGUUUUGUUGUAUUAAUAUACUUAAAAUAUCAAUCAACAUUCAUGCCAGAACUAUACUUGUUUGUCAGUUGCAACUCUGGCAAAAAUAAAAGAAUGCAUUCUAUGAGAAUUAAUUGUUUAUAUGGAAUUUACAGUAAAGAGUAUUGUAUGGUUUAUAUAUUGUGUGCUGCAUAGCCUUUCAGUAAGAAUAAUACAUACAUACACACUCACACGUAUGUUUUUCCUUCCCAGGGAGCUGGUUGUUAAACAUUAGCAUCACAGCACUAUUGCUUAACCCCAAGAGGUGAUUCUGAAACCAGCGUUCAGAGUUUCAGUAACUUAUUGAAGGUCACACAGCUACUGAGUAGAGAGUCGGAUUGCAAGACCCAGAUAUUUGGGCCUUAGAAUCUGUUCUCAGCUGUCAUGUGUAACAGAGAGGCACUGGGCUUGGGGUCUCCUUGGCAGAGUGGUUUUUCGUGGGUCUACUUUGAUCUCUGCAGAUGUGGGUGGUUUGGGAAGGGGUAAAGGGGAAGCUCUUAGGCAAGGAUUCAGUACAUAAUAGUCUAGUGUUAUCCCCCCAACCCCUAAGUAAAAUUUUCUCUCAUCUGUAAAAAGGGUAAACUCAAGUGGCUGCAAGACUAAAUGAGGUGUGUUAAAAACUGCGCAGACAGUGAAGCCUAUACAGACCCUAGGUCCCUGCCAUUAAAUAGAAUGAGGAGAAAGCGGGAGUUGUCCCUGGGGCAGUGAGGCGCCCUGGAGGGGCCUCUGCCCGCUCAGCCUGGGUGGUGGGUCUCUCACAAGCCCUCUGGGCUGGAGUCACUGAGGGGUGACUCUGGAUUUAGGCCUUCUCAGCUAGAAACUGCCCUGUCAGUAAAGACUGACUCAGGGAUGACCUCAGCCUUCAGACACUGCUUCCUCAGGAGAAUCUGAAACACGGGACGACAGAUAACCGAGUCUGUAUCUCAUCACCGGUCCCCCAGACGAGAACGUACAGGGAGGAUCCUUAGUGUUCUAGUUGGUGCCGGCAUCGUCCAAGGUGAACUUCUACGUCAGAGGGCAGGAAUCAUUGGCUUAAUGCUUCUGGACAGUAAAAAUAACUUCCGUAUCCUCAAUGGUCUCUAGAGGUUCCCUUUCCCGUCCUGGGUUCAGCGCUCCUCUGCGAAGUGAGGGGAUUGAACCACGCCCUCCAGCAUCCCUUCCAGGGCCGACCUCUGUGAUGUGAUGGUACGCAAACAACACAGUUAAAAGAGAAAGAAGGGCCAGAGUGGAGAAUGUGUUGGGGAUUGGGGUGGGCAGAGACCCUGCAGCUAAAGGGCGACACCCCACCUACCUUAACCCGGGGUGAACAGGCACCCUGCCGGCCUGCCGUCUGUGCAUGGUCCUCCCUCGCCCGCCAUUAGCUCCGAGUCACCUCUCAAGG